GUCUACAGCCAUGCCGCCCUGAACAAGCUCCAUCUCGUCUGAUCUUGGAAGCUAAGCUGGGUCGGGCCUGGUUAGUACUUGGAUGGGAGACCACCUAGGAAGACCAGGUGCUGUAGGCA
rnacentral:rRNA from 1 species